UGCCAGACUCCUACGGGAGGCAGCAGUGGGGAAUAUUGCACAAUGGGGGAAACCCUGAUGCAGCGACGCCGCGUGAGCGAUGAAGUAUUUCGGUAUGUAAAGCUCUAUCAGCAGGGAAGAAAAUGACGGUACCUGACUAAGAAGCCCCGGCUAACUACGUGCCAGCAGCCGCGGUAAUACGUAGGGGGCAAGCGUUAUCCGGAUUUACUGGGUGUAAAGGGAGCGUAGACGGCUGUGCAAGCCAGAUGUGAAAGCCCGGGGCUCAACCCCGGGACUGCAUUUGGAACUGUGUGGCUGGAGUGUCGGAGAGGCAGGCGGAAUUCCUAGUGUAGCGGUGAAAUGCGUAGAUAUUAGGAGGAACACCAGUGGCGAAGGCGGCCUGCUGGACGAUGACUGACGUUGAGGCUCGAAAGCGUGGGGAGCAAACAGGAUUAGAUACCCCUGUAU
rnacentral:rRNA from 1 species